GGAUGUGAGGGCGAUCUGGCUGCGACAUCUGUCACCCCAUUGAUCGCCAGGGUUGAUUCGGCUGAUCUGGCUGGCUAGGCGGGUGUCCCCUUCCUCCCUCACCGCUCCAUGUGCGUCCCUCCCGAAGCUGCGCGCUCGGUCGAAGAGGACGACCAUCCCCGAUAGAGGAGGACCGUUCUUCGGUCAAGGGUAUACGAGUAGCUGCGCUCCCCUGCUAGAACCUCCAAACAAGCUCUCAAGGAAUAAUGACCCACUCUUAUCAAUAACUGUGGUGGGAAUCCUCCUGAUAUCUAGGUUUCCAGAUGCCAGCCAAGGCCAACCUUACAAGCAGACCUUU
rnacentral:snRNA from 1 species